rnacentral:rRNA from 1 species
CGCGUAGGCGGGGAUACAAGUCAGGUGUGAAAUCUAUGGGCUUAACCCAUAAACUGCACUUGAAACUGUAUCUCUUGAGUGUCGGAGAGGUAGACGGAAUUCCUAGUGUAGCGGUGAAAUGCGUAGAUAUUAGGAGGAACACCAGUGGCGAAGGCGACUUACUGGACUAUUACUGACGCUGAGGUACGAAAGCGUGGGGAGCAAACA